GAUCGAUUAAAAAUCUAUUAUGACGGUAAUAAUAGUUGUAAUGAUAUGAUGACAGAAACAGAAAAAAACAGGAAAAAAGAAGAAAGAAGCAUUACAAAACUACUAUAAGAAACAUUAAAAAUACGACGAUACCAGAAAAAAAAAAAAAAAAAAAAGAAAAAGAAAGAAAGGAAGAAAGAAACAGUGAUUACAAUAUCCAUUCUAUUCUACGUUAAAAGUACUCUCGAAAGAUCGCGCGUGCGUUUAUAUGCUUCUACAUAUAUGCAUAUACGUAUCUACAUAUGUAUGUAUAUGUAUAUAGUGUCGAAUGUGAGCGCGAAGGUUGACACCUACGCUCUUUCGUGUGUGCGCGAGCGCGUUCAAAUGAGCUCUCUAUGCGUGUACAACAGACGGCGCGGCCGAGACGUCGUCGAGUCCGCGUUUCUCAGCCGCGGAGUAGUCGUACAAUACACACACACACACACACAUACACACACACACACGAACAGAAUUUAACCAUCGAAGAAAACCGGGAAUAGAGAUCAGGCCACAUCCGGAACCCUUCGCCGAUGUUUUUCAACCUAGGAUACGAGGAAAAUCCUCGUAAAAAGGGUUCCAUGGUUAAAUUUGUCUUUCGAAAACUUCGUUCUCGUUGAUCCUAUAUAAGAUAGAAUAAAUCUGAACGAUGGUAAAGAUCAGUAUGCCAUAGACACUAUAACUUUCUCGCUCGCACGGAUUUGUUAUUUUGUGUAACGAGACUGAGAGUAUAUUACACAUAUAUGUAUCUACAUACAUACAUGCAUACAAAUAUAUAAUACAUAUUACGUAAGUAUACAUUAUAAACAUAGAAAAAAUAUAUGAUACAUACCCUUGAAUCUCGGCUUGUAAUAUUAAAGAAUCGAAUUCC